ACUCCUACGGGAGGCAGCAGUAGGGAAUCUUCCACAAUGGACGAAAGUCUGAUGGAGCAACGCCGCGUGAGUGAAGAAGGGUUUCGGCUCGUAAAGCUCUGUUGGUAGUGAAGAAAGAUAGAGGUAGUAACUGGCCUUUAUUUGACGGUAAUUACUUAGAAAGUCGCGGCUAACUACGUGCCAGCAGCCGCGGUAAU
rnacentral:rRNA from 1 species